AACGAACGCUGGCGGCAUGCUUAACACAUGCAAGUCGAACGUGCGUAGCAAUACGUCCGUGGCAGACGGGUGAGUAACACGUGGGAACCUUCCUCGUUGUACGGAACAACUCAGGGAAACUUGAGCUAAUCCCGAAAACGUCCGAGAGGAGACAGAUUUAUCGCAAUGAGACGGGGCCGCGUCGGAUUAGGGAGUUGGGAGGGUAACGGGCUACCAAGGCAACAAUACGUAGCUGAGCUCAGCGGAUGAUCAGCCACACCCGGAGUCAGACACGGCCCAGACUCCUACGGGAGGCAGCAGUGGGGAAUCUUGGACAAUGGGGGCAAGCCUGAUCCAGCCAUGCCGCGUGAGUGAAGAAGGCCUUAGGGUUGUAAAGCUCUUUUACCAGGGACGAUAAUGACGGUACCUGGAGAAUAAGCCCCGGCAAACUUCGUGCCAGCAGCCGCCGUAACAC
rnacentral:rRNA from 1 species